GCUUACAGCUGGCGGUAUUUAGCUGGCUACUGAGCAGCUGGGUGUUCUUUGGGGGAAAGCAGAGUUUGAAAGGGCUGAGAAGGCUGCUGAGAGAGGCCUGGCCACAGUUUCUGAGGGUGUCAAAUUCGGACUUGUGUAGCGACCGUAUCGGGCACAUGUCUUCGAACUGUGGAAGAACUUAUAUUCCUUCUCUGCUGGAUUUUGCCAGUUUGCAAGGUUAAUGAAAUGGCUUCUUAUAAUGCUAAGAAGGCCAUCUAAGAGCUUCAGCCUGGAGCAACAGAGUGAGCCUUCAGAGAUGAACAUUGCACGGAAUGGUUUGGUUCCAGGAGGAAGCCAGGAACAGAGUAAUGUGGCUAGUGCAAUCAACUUCAGAAAGGCAGUCCUUGGCCUUUGUGCAUCACCCAUUUGACCGUCCUGCUCGAACAUCAAUUUUUUGCAACAUGGUUCCUAUGCCCUCAAAAGGCACCGAAUUUCCUACUUGGACAGCAGUGCAAUCAUUUCCUUAAGCUUUCUUUUCAACCUAGCCCCUCCCCUUGUCCUUUCUGCAUCAUCCAUCAUCAGGCUUCAAUACAGAAAAUGUUCUUACCGGCAAAAAGGGCAACAUUAGUUUGUCUAGCAUCGAAGGGGCACCUUGCCAACCCACUAAUUUCUUCGCCAUCGUACUCCAAGGUAUUCAACUGGAGAAGAAGUGGGGGGAAAAAACGGUUCGGUGAUGUAACUUCAAGCUCCGCGGGCCAGCGCGAUGGGGGGGGGGGGGGCGCAGUGCUACUUUCUAAACACCAUAAUUCAGCCUGAUGAUUUAUGUCAGACUUGAUCUAAUCUUCCAUUAUGCUCGGGAAGAGAAACUGUUUGGCAAGGAUUUGUGAAAAGCAGGUCGCUUUUGCCUCCACAACGAGGAGAGUUUCUGCAAGCCGAUGACAACAGCCAAUGGAUGGCCCACUUAAGGGCCCUGAUCCAUGAGCAACCGGCCAUGAAAAAUAAAGAACUGUUGGCUGGAUGCUGAUGCAUGCCCCAGUUAAGUUAGAAAGUCACAUCCAAUCAAUGCAAAAGGGCUUGAGAAGGCAUAACCCCAUGUGCAUCCACACUGAGUGUGGAUGAAGGCUGCUUAUGCACAAAACACUCUCUGGCUGGACUGGGCCAUUAUUCCUUACCCUAUAAUAACGGCACAUAGGGUUAAAAGCAUUUGUUCCACAGACAAACACCAUCUCGUCGUUCCUGGGAACAAAGACUUUAAUAAAAUUAUGGCAUUCAUCCUAGAAAGAAGAAGAGAAAGACAAUGGAUUAUAUCUGCAUCCACUUCCACUUCCAAAUGCAGUUUAAAUUAUUUUGGAUGCUCUCUUACAGGACAAACCUACUUUGUGUUUGCCCUUCAUAGCACAGUUCUCUCUGUCCUGCUGCUUUGACCGCCAUGUUAGCUUCUGUUUCAAUCAAACACAAAAAUAAAAUUGUCAAUCUUUAACCAAUUGUAUUAAAACGAA